rnacentral:rRNA from 1 species
CACGUAGGCACCAAGCGUUGUCCGGAUUUAUUGGGCGUAAAGAGCUCGUAGGCGGUUCAGUAAGUCGGGUGUGAAAACUUUGGGCUUAACCCAAAGCGUGCAUCCGAUACUGCUGUGACUUGAGUUCGGUAGGGGAGUGGGGAAUUCCUAGUGUAGCGGUGAAAUGCGUAGAGAUCUGGAAGAACACCAAAGGCGAAGGCAGCGUCCUGGGAAGUGACUGACGCUCAUGUGCGAAAGCUAGGGGAGCGAACGGG